rnacentral:rRNA from 1 species
AAUGAACGUUGGCGGCGUGGAUUAGGCAUGCAAGUCGUACGGGCUGUGGUAGCAAUAUUACAGCUAGUGGCGCAAGGGAGAGUAAUACGUAGGUAUUUACCCUGGGGUCUGGGAUAGCGGCGGGAAACUGCCGGUAAUACCAGAUGAUAUCUCCGGAUCAAAGGUGUGAUUCCGCCCUAGGAGAAGCCUGCGGUCUAUCAGCUAGUUGGUAGGGUAACGGCCUACCAAGGCAAAGACGGAUAUGGGGCGUGAGAGCGUGCCCCCACUCACUGGGACUGAGACACUGCCCAGACACCUACGGGUGGCUGCAGUCGAGAAUCUUCGGCAGUGGGCGCAAGCCUGACCGAGCGACGCCGCGUGCGGGAUGAAGGCCUUCGGGUUGUAAACCGCUGUCGAAGGGGAGGAAAUGCUAGUGGGUUCACCCAUUAGUUUGACCGAUCCUUGGAGGAAGGGCCGGCUAAUCUCGUGCCAGCCGCCGCCGUAA